GCUAAAUUACAAUUUUUCCACAUUAUUCAUAACUUGAAAAGUAUGCAUCACAUUCACAUAAAACUUACGUUUUCAGAAUCCGCAUACUCCAAAUACAUACAUACGUCAAAAUCAUCCAAAUUGGUCCAGUGGUUCAAAAGAUAGAUCGUAGUCCUUUGUGACCAAAGGAAGCAUGGCUUUUCUGCCCAAAACCAGUUCCACAGAGUCUUCUAUCCUG